GCCCACCAGCUAGCCCCCACCCCUAAUAUAAAAACCCCAAAAUAUAUUCCUUUCUAGAAUAUACAAAAACAAACCAUUCUUCCUCCUAAGUAUGGGCGACAGAAAAGGACAGUAGGAGCUACAGAUAAAGUACCGCAAGGGAAUGCUGAAAAAGAAAUGAAAGAAUUAUCUUUUAAAGCCUUAAAAAGCAAAGACUAACACUUGUUCCUUUUGCAUCAUGAUUGAGCUAGAAAACUUAAAGCAAAGCGCCCUUUAGUUUUACUUCCCGAAACCAGACGAGCUACUCCGAGACAGCCUAUUAGGGCCAACCCGUCUCUGUGGCAAAAGAGUGGGAAGAACUCCGAGUAGAGGUGAUAAGCCUACCGAGCCUGGUUAUAGCUGGUUGCCUAAGAAAUGAAUAGAAGUUCAGCCCCCAAGAUUCCCGAGCCCCCCACUACGACUUAAGGAAUCUUAGGGAGUUAGUUAAAGAAGGUCCAGCUUCUUUAAAACAAGACACAACUUUUUUAGGAGACUAAAGAUCAUAAUUAACCAAAGGAGCCUUAUUUUAGUGGGCCUAAAAGCAGCCACCUACACAAAAAGCGUUAAAGCUUAAAUAAGACCUACCCUAUUAUCCCGAUAAAUUAUCUUUUCCCCUUAAAUUAUUAGGCCAUUCCAUGCCCCCAUGGAAGAAAUUAUGCUUAUAUGAGUAAUAAGAGGUACAUGACCCUCUCCGUGCACACGUGUAAGUCGGAACGGACCCCCCACCGACAAUUAAUGGACCCAGAAGAGGGUACUAUGAAAUAAAAAAUAAACUAGAUAAAACCAUAAUCAACUACCAUUAGACCCACACAGGAGUGCAACUAAGGAAAGACUAAAGGGGGAGGAAGGAACUCGGCAAUCAAGAGCCUCGCCUGUUUACCAAAAACAUCGCCUCUUGCAAAAUCAAAGAAUAAGAGGUCCCGCCUGCCCUGUGACUCGAGAGUUUAACGGCCGCGGUAUCUUGACCGUGCGAAGGUAGCGCAAUCACUUGUCCUUUAAAUGAGGACCCGUAUGAAUGGCAUAACGAGGGCUCAACUGUCUCCCUACCCCAGUCAAUGAAAUUGAUCUUCCCGUGCAGAAGCGGGAAUAACACCAUAAGACGAGAAGACCCUAUGGAGCUUUAGACAUCAAGCAGCCUACAGCAAGCAACCCCAUAAACGGCUACAAACAACGUUAACCCUGCUGAACUGUCUUCGGUUGGGGCGACCGUGGGAUAAAAUUAACCUCCCAUGAGGACCGGAAUAAACAUUCCAAAACCAAGGGCUACCGCCCUAAGCAACAGAAACUCUGACCUAACUGAUCCGGCCUACCGCCGAUCAACGGACCGAGUUACCCUAGGGAUAACAGCGCAAUCCCCUCCUAGAGCCCCCAUCGACGAGAGGGUUUACGACCUCGAUGUUGGAUCAGGACAUCCUAAUGGUGCAGCCGCUAUUAAGGGUUCGUUUGUUCAACGAUUAAAGUCCUACGUGAUCUGAGUUCAGACCGGAGUAAUCCAGGUCAGUUUCUAUCUAUGGUAAUGCUCUUUUCCAGUACGAAAGGACCGAAAAGGGGGGGCCCAUAUCUCAGAUACGCCCCGCCCCCAUCUGAGGAACCCAACUAAAGCAAAAAACAGGUCAUACCCGAACUUGUUUGAGAAAACAACAU
rnacentral:rRNA from 1 species